rnacentral:rRNA from 1 species
AGCUUGCUCUUCUUGGAUGAGUUGCGAACGGGUGAGUAACGCGUAGGUAACCUGCCUGGUAGCGGGGGAUAACUAUUGGAAACGAUAGCUAAUACCGCAUAAAAUGGAUUAUCGCAUGAUAAUCCAUUGAAAGGUGCAAAUGCAUCACUACCAGAUGGACCUGCGUUGUAUUAGCUAGUUGGUGGGGUAACGGCUCACCAAGGCGACGAUACAUAGCCGACCUGAGAGGGUGAUCGGCCACACUGGGACUGAGACACGGCCCAGACUCCUACGGGAGGCAGCAGUAGGGAAUCUUCGGCAAUGGACGGAAGUCUGACCGAGCAACGCCGCGUGAGUGAAGAAGGUUUUCGGAUCGUAAAGCUCUGUUGUAAGAGAAGAACGAGUGUGAGAGUGGAAAGUUCACACUGUGACGGUAUCUUACCAGAAAGGGACGGCUAACUACGUGCCAGCAGCCGCGGUAAUACGUAGGUCCCGAGCGUUGUCCGGAUUUAUUGGGCGUAAAGCGAGCGCAGGCGGUUAGAUAAGUCUGAAGUUAAAGGCUGUGGCUUAACCAUAGUACGCUUUGGAAACUGUUUAACUUGAGUGCAAGAGGGGAGAGUGGAAUUCCAUGUGUAGCGGUGAAAUGCGUAGAUAUAUGGAGGAACACCGGUGGCGAA